GAGGCGGGGCCGCGACGGCUAGAGGUGGCGGCGGCGGCGACGACGACUACGCGUCCGAGCUGGACCGAGUCUCCCGCCAUCCUGAGCAGACCUGGUAUGGGUGAUGUGGUGAAGGAAGGCUCGAUGCGCUUGCGGGAGGAUGCUGAGACUGUCCUGCCCUCCACCGUGUCUGCAAAGAGCGACCACAGACAAGUACUCAGCUCCCUCCUGUCCGGGGCCCUGGCCGGCGCUCUUGCUAAAACAGCGGUAGCUCCCCUGGACCGAACCAAAAUCAUCUUCCAAGUGUCUUCAAAAAGAUUUUCUGCCAAGGAGGCAUUCCGACUCCUUUACUUCACCUACCUCAACGAGGGCUUCUUAAGCCUGUGGCGCGGGAACUCGGCCACCAUGGUGCGCGUGGUGCCCUACGCCGCCAUCCAGUUCAGCGCCCACGAGGAGUACAAGCGCAUCCUGGGCGCCUACUACGGUUUCCGCGGAGAGGCCCUGCCCCCUUGGCCUCGCCUCCUCGCCGGUGCACUGGCUGGAACGACAGCCGCAUCACUGACCUACCCCUUGGACCUGGUCAGAGCACGGAUGGCCGUGACGCCGAAGGAGAUGUACAGCAACAUCUUUCACGUUUUCAUUCGCAUCUCCCGAGAGGAGGGGCUGAAGACCCUCUACCACGGAUUUACGCCUACUGUGCUAGGGGUCAUUCCCUACGCCGGGCUCAGCUUCUUCACCUAUGAGACCCUCAAGAGUCUGCACAGAGGGUGCACGCCCCCACACGGCGCCCUCCUGGCCACCCACGUUCCUCACCCCGCAGAGUACAGCGGCCACCGGCAGCCCUACCCGUUCGAGCGCAUGAUCUUCGGGGCCUGCGCUGGCCUCAUCGGGCAGUCGGCCUCGUACCCGCUGGACGUGGUGCGGCGGCGCAUGCAGACGGCCGGCGUCACGGGCCACCCGCACGCCUCCAUCAUGUGCACGUUGCGCACCAUCGUGCGGGAGGAGGGCGCGGUGCGCGGCCUCUACAAGGGCCUGAGCAUGAACUGGCUCAAGGGCCCCAUCGCCGUGGGCAUCAGCUUCACCACCUUCGACCUCAUGCAGAUCCUGCUGCGGCACCUACAGAGCUAGGGCCCCUGCAGGUCAGCUGCCCCAGGAUGGUGGACCGGUGACGCCUUUGGUUUUCUGAGCCCGUGGAACGAGGGUGCGUUUGGUUCGACCCCGGGAGCCACGUCGGAGCGCUUUGUGAAGCAAGCAGGGAGGCCUGGGGGCCGGGGCUCGGAGCCCGCAGGUCUGAGGGUAACGCGGGCAGCCGUUGAAGUGCGUAGUUGGAACGAGUGGCCGGGGGCUCCCGAGGCUCUCCUCUUCCCUCCUCCCUAGGGGCUGGUGCUGUCUCCUGGAGGUGUUGCCCAGAAGGCCCCGAGUCAGGAGUGGUCGCCUCUGCCUCCUGGCGCUGUGUGUCCUCGGAUAUGCUGCUGAUUCUAGUGACCCCAUCCCCACUCGGCUCAGAGCCAGACUCCAGCUGUCCAUUGUUCUGACUGUGUCGUGCCUGGCUCCGGACCCUAUCCAGGAGGGGAGGAGCCUCAAGCUCAGCUUCGGCCACAAACGCAGCCCUCGCCCACCCCACCCUGCCUGUCCUGCCUUCUCCGUAAUUUCCUAGGUGAUCGCUCCUCUGUCACCAGAGCCUCCUGCUCAGGAAGAGCCUUCUUCCAAGAGCAUCACCCCCAUCCCAUACUCCGGGAUCACUGUGGGGGCACCAGGAGCGAGUCUUCCCCUCUGUCGCCCACCCACCUGGUUUGCAACCUUCCUAGGAGGGUCACGCUGCCUCCGCGCAGCAGGAUUUGAAGCACAGACCAUGACACCGAACUGCCUCCGGUUUGGGUCUGACUCCCCAACCCUGAGCAUCUGCUGAAAACGGAGCGCCCAGGCCAUCUCCUCUAGCCUGAAAGCUCCUGCCCUGCAGGCCACUGAUCCUCUGCCCACUGUGGCCUCUGAUGAAUCCCUGGCUCCCAUCUGAGCUGGUACUUAGUCAGGAAAUGGAGCAAGAGGCUGUUUGAUUUCCCUGAGCAGAGCACACAGAGGUGGUCGGUGGCCUUGACCUCCCAGAGUGGGAGCCCCCAGACAGUGAACAGCCUGGGGAUGGGAUACAUGGAGGAGUCAAGGUAGCCCGGGGAACCUCCAGCCAGCUGGUCUCUUGGAGAAGUCCCCCAGGGCCACCAGGUACCACAGGGACUCAGAAACACCUGCUUUCUAAUGACAUUGGGCUUUCUUGAGUUUUUGGGUUUGUUUUCCAGCUUGUUUGUUUUCAACCCUGCGUCUGUCCACAGCAAUCCCCUAAUGGGUCCAGUCUGGUUCCAGGACCAGGGUGGCCAUGAGAGCUGGUUUUUGUAGCUGGCUCAGCAGCCACAUCGCAUGAACGGACCCCAGCAGGCAUACCUGCCCCGCGUGCUUUUCCAGUCCUGACUUCAUUCCCUCCCUUGGUCCUGCCCUCUUUCUGUUCUUGCCUUGGACCUGUGGCCUUCCUGAGCUUGUCCCCCAGAGCCCAGGCAGCCUGCAAUGGCUGUGAGGGGCUGUCCUGUUGGCUGAGCAUCCCAUCCCCUCUCCCAACCCUGCCCAGCACCCAGGAGAGACUCCACAGGGAGACUCCAGCGAUGAACCCUGGACUUUGGUGUCAUCAGCACCACGCUCUAACCGACUGGACUAACCGGCUAGUCCUGGAAUGAACAUCUUGAACACACUUUUGUUGUUUGAACUGUGAAUACAUACUAUGAUUUUCCAGAAAACACCGACAGUGCAAAAGGGUCUAUGAAACGUAGUUCCGCCUCCCAGUUCCUUCCACAGGGGCAUCUCCUGUCUCCCUGCAGAGAGAUUCUGUACAUACACUCUUGUCUGUUUGGGGGCAUAUGUGGCAACUCACGAUGUCAGGUAGGAUGGGCUGCAUCCUGCCGCAGCCAGCACAGCCCCGAAGUCCCACGGGCUUGAACAGAACUAGCUCUCCCCUGAGCCCUGCACUCCAGGACUCACCGACCACAGGGGCAGGAGGAUGAGGCCACCAGAGGGUCUCAGCAGCAGUCGAGGCUCACUUCACCUGCAGCUGGUUGGCCAGAGUGACUCGCAGGGCCCGCCCACCACAGGACAGAAGUGGGAGCCUGUGCUCCACUCUCUGCUGUCGUACAGCAGGAUUUCUCAGGAGUCGGUUGCGCCUGUGCACGGGGCUGUCUGAUCAGCUGUUGCUCGGUGUCCCCCCGGAGGACGGCCCAUGAUGGAAUUCACCCAUCCCUUAUUGAUGGGCAGCUAGGUUAUUGGGAAAAGACACCAUUUAUGAACCAGGAGGCAGGUCCUCACCAGACGCCUCUGCCUGCACCUUGAUCUUGAACUUCCCAAUCUUCAGAACUGUGAGCGAUAAAUUUUUGUUGUUUAUAAGCCACCCACUCUAUGA